rnacentral:rRNA from 1 species
GAUGAACGCUGGCGGCGUGCUUAACACAUGCAAGUCGAACGGAAAGGCCCUGCUUUUGGGGGGUUCUCGAGUGGCGAACGGGUGAGUGACACGUGUGUAACCUGCCCCUGACUUUGGGAUAACUUCAGGAAACAGGGGCUAAUACCGCAUAGGAGCUCCUGCUGCACAGGGGGGGUUGGAAAGUUUCGGCGUUUGGGGAUGUACUCGCGGCUUAUCAGCUAGUUGGUGGGGUAGUGGCUUACCUAGGCGAUUACAGGUAGCCGGCCUGAGAGGGUGAUCGGCCACCCUGGAGGUGAGCCGGCGUCCAUGCGCCUACGGGACGGACCAGACUGCAACAUGACGCAACGGGCGGAAGUCUUACGCAGCGAGGGGGCGUGUGUGAAGAAGGCCCCCCGUGCGUGAUGACCGGCUACGGGUUAUGAACCGAUUUCGCCUGUGACGAAGCGUGAGUGACGGUACUGGGUAAAGAAGCACCGGCUAACUACGUG